rnacentral:misc_RNA from 1 species
AACGCAUAUUGCGCCCAUUGGUAUUCCUUUGGGCAUGUCUGUUUGAGCGUCAUUACAACUCUUCAACGUAAAAAUGUUGGUUAUGAGUUCUGUUAAAAAAAAAUUUUUUUUUUUUUUAUAACAGACUUUAAAGUUGUAUGCUUUGCAGGUUACAUUGCUAAACCAAAACAUAGUAAAUUUAUUUUCUUUGUUUCUAGUAAGGCUUUGUAUACUCUGCCUUAAAUCUUUCUAAGGUUUGACCUCAGAUCAGACAAGGAUACCCGCUGAACUUAA